UAUAAAGAUGCUAUAAUGAAACCCAUUA
rnacentral:piRNA from 1 species